UUAAACUCCAAGCCUGAACCUCUCCACUGAACUCUGGGCUCAAAAAUCUGUCUAACUGGGACUUCUGGUCAAGAUGGCGGGGGCAAGCAAGAUAAUUAGCACCUCUACAUAUGCUGAGAAGAG